UACAGAGGUCUCAAGCGUUGUUCGGAAUGAUUGGGCGUAAAGCGUCCGCAGGUGGCUAUGUAAGUCUGCUGUUAAAGAGUGAGGCUCAACCUCAUAAAAGCAGUGGAAACUACAUGGCUAGAGUGCGUUCGGGGCAGAGGGAAUUCCUGGUGUAGCGGUGAAAUGCGUAGAGAUCAGGAAGGACACCGGUGGCGAAAGCGCUCUGCUAGGCCGCAACUGACACUGAGGGACGAAAGCUAGGGGAGCGAAUGGG
rnacentral:rRNA from 1 species